GUCGAUAUGUCCGAGUGGUUAAGGAGAUUGACUCGAAAUCAAUUGGGCUAUGCCCGCGCAGGUUCGAAUCCUGCUGUCGACG
rnacentral:tRNA from 1 species